GGAUGCGAGGGUGAUCUGGCUGCGACAUCUGUCACCCCAUUGAUCGCCAGGGUUGAUUCGGCUGAUCUGGCUGGCUAGGCGGGUGUCCCCUUCCUCCCUCACCGCUCCAUGUGCGUCCCUCCCGAAGCUGCGUGCUCGGUCGAAGAGGACGACCAUCCCCGAUAGAGGAGGACCGGUCUUCGGUCAAGGGUAUACGAGUAGCUGCACUCCCCUGCUAGAACCUCCAAACAAGCUCUCAAGGUCCAUAAUUAUUAGGUUCUGACCACGAUAUUAACAGCUUUUUAAUGUUAAUGAGUACCUUAAGUAUGUAUUUCCAUGAUUUGU
ensembl:misc_RNA 7SK 7SK RNA